GCCAGGCGUGGUGGCUCAUGCCUGUAAUCCCAACAGUCUGGGAGGCUGAGGCAGGUGGAUCACCUGAGGUCAGGAGUUCGAGACCGGCCUGGCCAACAUGGUGAAAUCCUGUCUCUA
rfam:Pan troglodytes isolate Yerkes chimp pedigree #C0471 (Clint) chromosome 9, whole genome shotgun sequence.